rnacentral:rRNA from 1 species
AACGAACGCUGGCGGCAUGCCUAACACAUGCAAGUCGAACGAGACCUUCGGGUCUAGUGGCGCACGGGUGCGUAACGCGUGGGAAUCUGCCCUUGGGUUCGGAAUAACUCACCGAAAGGUGUGCUAAUACCGGAUGAUGUCGAAAGACCAAAGAUUUAUCGCCCAGGGAUGAGCCCGCGUAGGAUUAGCUAGUUGGUGAGGUAAAGGCUCACCAAGGCGACGAUCCUUAGCUGGCUGAGAGGAUGAUCAGCCACACUGGGACUGAGACACGGCCCAGACUCCUACGGGAGGCAGCAGUGGGGAAUAUUGGACAAUGGGCGAAAGCCUGAUCCAGCAAUGCCGCGUGAGUGAUGAAGGCCCUAGGGUUGUAAAGCUCUUUCAACGGUGAAGAUAAUGACGGUAACCGUAGAAGAAGCCCCGGCUAACUUCGUGCCAG